rnacentral:rRNA from 1 species
UGGGGAAUUUUCCGCAAUGGGCGAAAGCCCGACGGAGCAAUGCCGCGUGAGGGUAGAAGGCCUACGGGUCGUAAACCUCUUUUAUCGGAGAAGAAGCAGUGACGGUAUCCGAGGAAUAAGCAUCGGCUAACUCUGUGCCAGCAGCCGCGGUAAGACAGGGGAUGCAAGCGUUAUCCGGAAUGAUCGGGCGUAAAGCGUCUGUAGGUAGCUCCUCAAGUCCGCCGUCAAAUCCCAGGGCUCAACCCUGGAAGGGCGGUGGAAACUACCGAGCCGGAGUACGGUAGGGGCAGGGGGAAUUUCCGGUGGAGCGGUGAAAUGCGUAGAGAUCGGAAGGAACACCAAUGGCGAAAGCACUCUGCUGGGCCGACACUGACACUGAGAGACGAAAGCUAGGGUAGCGAAUGG